rnacentral:tRNA from 1 species
GGAGGGGUGGCUGAGUGGUCGAAGGCGCCGGUCUUGAAAACCGGAAGGUGUAGAAGCUUCGUGGGUUCGAAUCCCACCCCCUCUU